GUCAGAUCAUCACCAUCAGCCGUCAACUGCCCAGAGACGGACCAUUCAGGACCUACAGAGACCUGCAGAAACACUGGAACUGCCUGUAUGGUUACAGACUCCCUGAUCUUGCAGAAGAAGAGGUGGUGUACUGCAGCGUCUACUUCAGACUCGUGGGAGAGAGACUCUUCACUUACCCUCUGAGCUGUAUCCGCCUGCAG